rnacentral:rRNA from 1 species
AUGCCGAAUCAUCAAAAGUACCCAAAUAAAAUGCAAGUACCAAAGAAAACCAGAGAAUUUUACAUGAUGCCAGAUAGAUGUGUGAAUGGCUUAAAACCUACCAGUAGUAUUUCAAGCUAUACGAAAAUUACAAAGGGCGAGCUGCAUGGUUUCCAUGAAGGGCCAAAAUGCAUUUCUACAGUUAUUACAGGACCAGAGCUGCCAAGGUCAUUUUUACGCCAUAUCUUUCUGGCCCCACGCACCCUGAAGACCACAAAUCACAAGCGCUCUGAAGCCCCAGCAUCCAAUCCGGGGUCUCCACGUGUCGCCUACGUCCAACGCAACCUCCCCCGUUCAUAG